CUCCAGUUAAGCUACGGCGGUUGUGGAGUCUGUGGUGGUUGUGGUGUCCGGUGCAGUGCUUGUGGUCCUUGACGCAAGCUAGGAAAUGUCCAUCAAUGGAAGGUACUCGGUCGGAGUACGGGGAGUUCCAUUACACACCCUCACACAGCACCCUCACACACACAGCACACUCACACAGGCACACUCACACAGCACCCUCUCACACACACACAACACAUUCAAACAGCCACACAGCACCCUCACACACACACAGCACCUUCACAGAUAGCUCACUCACACAGCCACACAGUACCAUCACAAACACAGCACCCUCUCACAGCACCUUCACACACACAGCACCCUCUCACACACACACACAGCACCCUCACACACAAUCCCUCCAAACAUAUUCAC